rnacentral:lncRNA from 1 species
CCCGGCCACAACGUGAGGAAUGGAGCCAGUACCUGGGCUCGAUUGGCAUUCGGGCAGUGUUCUUCUCUGCACUCCUCGAGGGCCAAGAAG